CACUUAUAUAAUUUUGAUUGUUGCUCAGAAAGCCCUUAUAAAUUAUUAGCUGGCUUUCGAGCAAUAAUUGAAACCAAAUAAGUG
rnacentral:pre_miRNA from 12 species